GGGGUUGUGGCUCAGUGGUAGAGUGCUCACCCCGCAUGUGCGAGACCCUGGGUUCAAUCCCCAGCACCA
rnacentral:tRNA from 1 species